AAAGCUUCAAACUACAAAUAAUUUUGAUUCUACUUUUAACCCCAAAACAAGAAAAAUAAUGUUUAAUGAAUAAGUAUUAUAAUUGAAAUGUCUUAGAAAAUGUUUCUAACCACAAAUAUUUGAAAACAUACAUAGAGCAUUAAUUGCUAAUUAACAAUUGUUAAAAGCUGAAAACAAAAAAAAUAUAUCAGCCAAUCCUUGAGCCAAACACACCCGUAGUUGAACUACUUGUAUCAAAAUCAGUUGAUGAAGUUGAGUCUAGCUGAGGUCCGUCGGCAAUAUCAACACAUUGGGCAGGG